GUGAAGAACGUAGCGAAAUGCGAUAAGUAAUGUGAAUUGCAGAAUUCAGUGAAUCAUCGAAUCUUUGAACGCACAUUGCGCCCGCCAGUAUUCUGGCGGGCAUGCCUGUUCGAGCGUCAUUUCAACCAUCAAGCCCCAGGCUUGUGUUGGGGACCUGCGGCUGCCGCAGGCCCUGAAAACCAGUGGCGGGCUCGCUGUCACACCGGGCGUAGUAGAUUUUAUCUCGCUCAGGGCGUGCUGCGGGUUCCGGCCGUUAAAAAGCCUUUUUUACCCAAGGUUGACCUCGGAUCAGGUAGGAAGACCCGCUGAACUUAAGCAUAUCAAUAAACGGAGGA
rnacentral:misc_RNA from 1 species